GAUGAACGCUGGCGGCGUGCCUAAUACAUGCAAGUCGAGCGAACAGACGAGGAGCUUGCUGCUCGGACGUUAGGGGCGGACGGGUGUGUAACACGUGGAUAACCUACCUAUAAGAGUGGGAUAACUUCGGGAAACCGGAGCUAAUACCGGAUAAUAUAUUGAAGCGCAUGGGUCAAUAGUGAAAGACGGUUUUUCCGGCAGUUAUAGAUGGAUCCGCGCCUUAUUAGCUAGUUGGUAAGGUCAAGGCUUCCCAAGGGAACGAUGGGUAGCCGGCCUGAGAGCGUGACCGCCCACCUUGCUACUGAGAGACGGCCCAGACGGCUACCUGAGGCAGCAGUGGGAAACAUUGCACAAUGAGCGGACGUCUGAUGUAGCAACGCCGCGUGCGGGAUGCCGGCUUUCUGGUUGUAAACCGCUUUCGCCUGUGCCGAACCCUGCGUGACGGUAAUGGGUCAAGAAGCAACGGCUAACUACGUG
rnacentral:rRNA from 1 species